rnacentral:rRNA from 1 species
GACGAACGCUGGCGGCGUGCUUAACACAUGCAAGUCGAACGGAAAGGCCCCUUCGGUGGUACUCGAGUGUCGAACGGGUGAGUAACACGUGAGUAACCUGCCCUUGACUUCGGGAUAACUUCAGGUAACUGGGGCUAAUACCGGAUAGGAAUCCUUUCUUCAUGGUGGGGGUUGGAAAGCUUCGGCGGUUUUGGGUGGACUCGCUGCUUAUCCGCUUGUUGGUGGGGUAGUGGGUUACCAAGGCUUUGACGGGUAGCCGGCCUGGGAGGGCGACCCGCCACAUUGGGACUGAGGUAAGGCACAGGCUGCUAAGGGAGGGAGAAGGGGGGAAGAUUGACCAAUGGGCGGCAGCCUGAUGCAGCAACGCCGCGGGCGGGAUGACGGCCUUCGGGUUGUAAAACGCUUUCAGCAGGGGCGAAGCUUGUGGUGACGGUACCUGCAGAAGAAGCACCGGCUAACUACGUG